CAGACAAUAUCCCCAGUGGAGUUGUACUGGUAAAAUUCAUUCAUUUGAUGGUAUAGACUGCCGCUUGGAUCAAUUUCGACCGAGACGGUGAA
rfam:Desulfitobacterium metallireducens DSM 15288, complete genome.